GCAGGAACAAAUUUUAUUCGCCAACAAUCGCAUAUAAAAUGGAAUCUCUCAAAUUAUUGCACUAACGCGUUUCAACCUAAGCGGUCUUUAUCAAAGUGCUAACAAUGUCAAACAAAUUAAACAUUUAAAUAUAGUUACAAAAAGGCGCACUGUGAUUUCUUUUCCGGUUCACUUCCGGAUUUCGGCUGUCCGACCUCCAACUUCCGGUCACGUUGCGUUGCGUCUCUUCAAACACUUCCGGGUCAGCGGACAGUGUUUCUCUUGCGUUCCAGUACGUCUUCAAUCUCAGUCAUUAUUUCCGGCUUCCGGUCAUGUGGCCUAUCACGGGAUACUUUCGGGCAAAAAUCAUAACUCCCUUACAUUUCAAUAAAGUCCCGAUCUUGAAUAAAAUCAAUAUUUACUCCAGAUGUCUUUGAUUAAUAUGUCCAUACAUAUAUCCAUCGAGCAUAUAUUUAAAAUAAGAGUAAAUAAAUACACAAAUAUAAAAAUAAUCACUCUAUCAAUUUAUCAUAUAUACAC